rnacentral:rRNA from 1 species
CUCUUUCUUGAUUCGGUGGGUGGUGGUGCAUGGCCGUUCUUAGUUGGUGGAGCGAUUUGUCUGGUUAAUUCCGAUAACGAACGAGACUCUAGCCUGCUAAAUAGGUGACGGGUUUUAUCAAUUGAAACCGAAGGGAGUACGGAGGCGUCGGGAUCAGGUGGCGGCGAUUCGGGUGGAAGAGGCCGGGUUUCUUUAGCUGGCUUUUUCUUUCUUCCCAUCGUUCGCGCGUGGUUUAUUUUUCCUUCAGCUUCGGUGUUCGGCGAAAGGGGUUCGAGGGGGAAACUCCUCUUGCUUUCUUUUAUCCGGCCCGAUUUUGUUGGAAAAAGGCUGCGUGUGGCGAGGGAAGAAGGGGAGUUUGGCGGGGGCUCGGUCUCUUGUUUCUCGGUCGUCGUCAUCCCCGGCGAUACCUUCUGCUCUCGCGUCCGUCACGCAGUCUUCUUAGAGGGACAAGCGGCGUCCAGCCGCGUGACAAUGAGCAAUAACAGGUCUGUGAUGCCCUUAGAUGUCCUGGGCCGCACGCGCGCUACACUGAAGGAAUCAGCGUGUUUCACUCUCCCUGUCCGAAAGGAACGGGUAACCGCUGAACCUCCUUCGUGG